AGGAAAGUCAGCUCAAUUUAUGCUAGCAAUUAUUCCAGAGGGAUGGGAACUAAUUGCUCUAAUUAUUACUUGAGGGUCAUGUGGGGAGAUUGAGAGCCUGAGGUCAGCUAUAAAGGACAAGAGCUGAAAUAUGUCGUUUGAGGGUCCCCCGUUCAUCAUUCAACAGUAAAAUCUCAACCAAGUAUCAAACGUUUAAUAAAUUUUAAAAAAGACCCACAGAAAUAAAGCAGUGAGAACAGGGACCAUGGCUGAAGAGGCAGCUGGAACUAAGGAACCAUGGGUGGCUGCAGGAGAAAAAUCAGCCCUCAGAAAGCCAGCCAUCAGUGCAGUCGUCCAGGCCAUCGUGCUCCAAUGAUGGGGAAAGCGAAGCUCAACCAACCUGAUUGCUGCUCUCCAGUGGCAAGCAGGCCGGUCAGAUGGG
ensembl:lncRNA